AAGAGCCGUAUGAGCUGAGAGGUUCACGUACGGUUCUGUGAGCGCCUCGGGGGGAAGUUCCCCGGGGCGACUCGAC
rnacentral:ncRNA from 1 species